GGUUCGUUAGCUCAGUGGUAGAGCGCCGGCCUGUCGAGCCGAGUGUCAGGAGUUCGAUCCUCCUACGGACCGCCA
rnacentral:tRNA from 1 species